GAUGAACGCUGGCGGCGUGCCUAAUACAUGCAAGUCGAGCGAACGGACGAGAAGCUUGCUUCUCUGAUGUUAGCGGCGGACGGGUGAGUAACACGUGGAUAACCUACCUAUAAGACUGGGAUAACUUCGGGAAACCGGAGCUAAUACCGGAUAAUAUUUUGAACCGCAUGGUUCAAAAGUAAAAGACGGUCUUGCUGUCACUUAUAGAUGGAUCCGCGCUGCAUUAGCUAGUUGGUAAGGUAACGGCUUACCAAGGCAACGAUGCAUAGCCGACCUGAGAGGGUGAGCGGCCACACUGGAACUGAGACACGGUCCAGACUCCUACGGGAGGCAGCAGUAGGGAAUCUUCCGCAAUGGGCGAAAGCCUGACGGAGCAACGCCGCGUGAGUGAUGAAGGUCUUCGGAUCGUAAAACUCUGUUAUUAGGGAAGAACAUAUGUGUAAGUAACUGUGCACAUCUUGACGGUACCUAAUCAGAAAGCCACGGCUAACUACGU
rnacentral:rRNA from 1 species